rnacentral:rRNA from 1 species
UACGUAGGGCGCAAGCGUUUGUCCGGAAUUAUUGGGCGUAAAGAGCUCGUAGGCGGUUUGUCGCGUCUGCUGUGAAAACCCGAGGCUCAACCUCGGGCCUGCAGUGGGUACGGGCAGACUAGAGUGCGGUAGGGGAGAUUGGAAUCCUGGUGUAGCGGUGGAAUGCGCAGAUAUCAGGAGGAACACCGGUGGCGAAGGCGGGUCUCUGGGCAGUAACUGACGCUGAGGAGCGAAAGCGUGGGGAGCGAACAGG